rnacentral:misc_RNA from 1 species
GAAAUGCGAAAAGCAAUGCGAAUUGCAGAAUUCCGCGAGUCAUCAGAUCUUCGAACGCACCUGGCGCCGACCGGAUCUCCGAUUGGCAUGCUUGUUUCAGUGUCUUGUUACGACUCACAAAUCAUAAUGUGAUUGACUGGGGUAGAGUGAGUUCUCUCACCCUGCUUCCCUGUCUCUCAUGAAGUGAGCGCUGGACCGACGAACCCGAUGCAGUAGUCACUCUCGCAGUGAUACUCAUUGGAACUCGGCGGAUUACUCCUGCGGUACAAAAACGAUAACAUCACAACGCAUCUGAGGCAAGCAAGAUCACCCGCUGAACUUAA